CGUACUUUAGUGUAUGAUCACAGUGGGGUUAAAGCUAGGGGUAAUGCUUAAAAUAUUCCCUACAAUAGUCGAUGGCACGCUUCGCCAUCAUGGGUUCGGAGCUAGAGAUUUGAUUCCCUGGCUAUAUGGGAUUAUCACGAGGGAUCCGGUUAUGAACGCCUUGUGGGAGUCUGCUGGUUUAGGAGAUUUCUAUUCAGCGGUUGUAGGAUUUCCCAACCCCCGGGGUUGUGGCUAGACCGUCGUUCGUGCAAUAUUACCAAUACUUUUCACUUUGCUUGGGGGAGAUGACAGUGACCCCCCUGGAUUUUAGCAUCUUACGCUUCACCGAGCGGGUCGUACGACAGAUUCCUAACCUCACUUUGGGGGCGGCUGAGGUAGCAGAUUUGUUAGUCCCGGUCGUUCAGCACAUCAGGACUCAGCCGGUGCCUCAAGGUGGUCUUAAGAGCGAGCGAUCAGAGUUGGCUUCGGUUCUUGCCCAUGGCUUUGACAUGGCUGAGACGUCACCUGAGCAGUGAGUGCGGAUCUUUAUUUUGAUUCUCUUAUUCGUCACUCUUUCUCUUGAUAAGAGUUCACGUGCGCUCGUUUGCUACCUUCCUUCUUAGGUCAUGAUCGGCGAGAUAGGAUCUUAUAGUUGGGCCAGCCUUAGAUAGGCUGAUCUACUCUCGUCACUGCGUCAUGGCUGCAGGCAGCUGAAUGACCAGGCCCCUGUCAUUGUUUACGGUUUAUGGAGAGUCGUAAAGCUGUGGUUCUAUGAGUACUUUCCAGGAUUCCAUGAUUUCCCUGUUUGAGCCAGCUGGCGUGACCGAGGCGAUUCACGAGUGGAGUCCAUCCCUACCCUGCGCGGGUUGCUGCGCCAAGGCACCUCUUUUGUUGGUGUUGCUGUUGUGAUCCAAUAUCGGCCUUGGGCUGGGAUGAUUGAUCUUUCCAAGGCCUUGCAGCUUUCGUCAUACCGUACUGUCUUUGUUGGUACUACACGCUUCGCUUGAUAUCUUGGGAGCGCGUUGUUCGUCAGAAUUUCCAUGAAUUAACUUGUAUAUGAAUGUAUAUUUGUUUGUGAGCAAUUUGAGACCAAGUUUGUGUAAAAUUACAUGGAUUAGUAAAUUGGAGAUGAAAAGCUUUAAUUUACAAAAGAUUUGAGCGGAUUUGGUUGAAAGGAAACAACCAAGUUUAAAGUUCGGAGCAAAACCGAGCAAUGAAUAGCAGCAGCAAGAGCAAAAUAAGGAAGACCCGACUCCAGCGCUAGAUGACCAGGCUGUCGUCUGGCGAUUGAAGCAAAAUGCGGCGACACAAUGCAUGGCCCCCAUAUUAGAUUAUGCAGGCCUAGUGCAGAAAUUUGCGGGUUCCUUGGUACGCCAGUUAGCCCCUAUAAGCAAUCGGACAUGAUUAGGUAAUUGGCUCGAUUACCAUCACAUAAAGUGAUCGACCUGAUAAAAUAUCGUCUCACUUAGCUUAAAGCGCCUAAACAUUGGCUCAUAGUAAAGGCACCGACAUAAUGGUUCAAGAGCAGUAAAAACACCGAAGUAUUGGUUCAUAAAGAAUUCCUAGGAUGUAAGAUUUUACAAAUCAAUUUAAAGCCUUUAAGAAUCGCAUAUAUGGUUCUUGAAAAAUAUUUUCCAAAGAUGGAAGGGUUGAUUUGAAGAUUUAAGAUGACGAAGUUUGAGAUGAAGCGACCUUCGAUAGCUUUCACUAUGAUUGAGGAGUUAUUAUUUGAUUUGAGAAAAGAACGAUUCAAGAUGAAGCGGUCUUUGAUAGCUUCCGCUAUGAUUGUGGAAGUUGUCACUUGAUUUGAGAAGAUAGCACGAGAUGGGCGGUCUUC